ACGGUCCUAAGGUAGCGAAAUUCCUUGUCAGGUAAGUUCUGACCCGCACGAAAGGUGUAACGAUCUGGGCACUGUCUCAACAACCCGCCCGGCGAAAUUGUAGUACCGGUGAAGAUGCCGGUUACCCGCGACUAGACGGAAAGACCCCAUGGAGCUUUACUGUAGCCUAAUAUUGGAUUUCGGUAUUUCACGUACAGGAUAGGUGGGAGACUGGGAAGCACAGGCGUCAGCUUGUGUGGAGUCGACCUUGGGAUACCACUCUUGGAGUGCUGGAAUUCUAACCUGCGGCUUUGAAGCAAGUCGAGGGACAUUGUUAGGUGGGCAGUUUGACUGGGGCGGUCGCCUCCUAAAGAGUAACGGAGGCGCUCAAAGGUUCGCUCUGCAUGGAUGGAAACCAUGCGUCAGAGUGUAAACGCAAAAGCGAGCCUAACUGCGAGAAUGACGGUUCGAGCAGUAACGAAAGUUGGAGUUAGUGAUCCGGCGGUAUGUGAAUGGAAAUGCCGUCGCUCAACGGAUAAAAGCUACCCUGGGGAUAACAGGCUGAUCUCCCCCAAGAGUCCACAUCGACGGGGAGGUUUGGCACCUCGAUGUCGGCUCAUCGCAUCCUGGGGCUGUAUUCGGUCCCAAGGGUUUGGCUGUUCGCCAAUUAAAGCGGUACGCGAGCUGGGUUCAGAACGUCGUGAGACAGUUCGGUCCCUAUCUGUCGUGGGCGUAGGAUAUUUGCAAGGAGCUGUCCCUAGUACGAGAGGACCGGGAUGGACGCACCUCUGGUGCACCAGUUGUCACGCCAGUGGCACAGCUGGGCAGCUAUGUGCGGAACGGAUAAACGCUGAAGGCAUCUAAGCGUGAAGCCGCCCUUAAGAUAAGAUAUCCCUUCUGUUUACAGAGUAAGACCCCUUGAAGACUACAAGGUUGAUAGGCUCAAAGUGUAAGCACGGUGACGUGUUUAGCUAGCGAGUACUAAUCGGUCGAGGGCUUAACCUU
rnacentral:rRNA from 1 species